GAUGAACGCUGGCGGCGUGCCUAAUACAUGCAAGUCGAGCGAACAGACGAGGAGCUUGCUCCUCUGACGUUAGCGGCGGACGGGUGAGUAACACGUGGAUAACCUACCUAUAAGACUGGGAUAACUUCGGGAAACCGGAGCUACUACCGGAUAAUAUAUUGAACCGCAUGGUUCAAUAGUGAAAGACGGUUUUGCUGUCACUUAUAGAUGGUUCCGCGCCGCAUUAGCUAGUUGGUAAGGUAACGGCUUACCAAGGCAACGAUGCGUAGCCGACCUGAGAGGGUGAUCGGCCACACUGGAACUGAGACACGGUCCAGACUCCUACGGGAGGCAGCAGUAGGGAAUCUUCCGCAAUGGGCGAAAGCUUGACGGAGCAACGCCGCGUGAGUGAUGAAGGUCUUCGGAUCGUAAAACUCUGUUAUUAGGGAAGAACAAAUGUGUAAGUAACUAUGCACGUCUUGACGGUACCUAAACAGAAAGCCACGGCUAACUACGUG
rnacentral:rRNA from 1 species